rnacentral:rRNA from 1 species
CAGCAGUCGCGGUAAUACGUAGAAGACUAGUGUUAUUCAUCUUUAAUUGGUUUAAAGGGUACCUAGACGGUAAAUCAAGCCUUAACACGAGGGACUAAUAUACUAGAGUUACAUGUGAGGGAGUUCUAAAGUACUGCUGGUGUAGAGAUGAAAUUCUGUCAUACCUUUAGCGAUUAAAAGCACGGCACAGGUAUAGGCGAAGGCAUCUCCUUAUGUGAUAACUGACGUUGAGGGACGAAGGCUUUUGUAGCGAACAGGAUUAGUUACCCCAGUAGUCCAAGCAGAAAAUGAUGAAUGUCAUAGAUUAGAUAAAAAGAUUUAUUCUAUAAAUGAAAGUGUAAGCAUUCCACCUCAAGAGUAAUUUGGCAACAUUGGAACUGAAAUCAUUAGACCGUUUCUGAAACCAGUAGUGAAGUAUGUUGUUUAAUUUGAUGAUCCGCAAAGAACCUUACCACAACUUGAAUAUUUAUAUUUUAAUAUAUUUACAAGCGUUGCACGGCUGUCUUCAGUUAAUGUCGUGAGACUUUGGUUAGUUCCAUUAAAUUAACGUAAACCCUUACUUUAUUUUUAUAUAAAGUGGUUCCCCGCUAUAUUGGAUAUGAUAACAGGGACUAAGACAAGUCAUCAUGGCCUAAAUGUUGUGGGCUAUAGACGUGCCACAUAAACCUUACAAAAAAGGGGUGGUGAAAAUUGUGAAAUUGAGCUAAAUC